GGGGCUGAUUCUGGAUUCGACGGGAUUUGCGAAACCCAAGGUGCAUGCCGAGGGGCGGUUGGCCUCGUAAAAAGCCGCAAAAAAAUAGUCGCAAACGACGAAACCUACGCUUUAGCAGCUUAAUAACCUGCUUAGAGCCCUCUCUCCCUAGCCUCCGCUCUUAGGACGGGGAUCAAGAGAGGUCAAACCCAAAAGAGAUCGCGCGGAUGCCUUGCCUGGGGUUGAAGCGUUAAAACGAAUCAGGCUAGUCUGGUAGUGGCGUGUCCGUCCGCAGGUGCCAGGCGAAUGUAAAGACUGACUAAGCAUGUAGUACCGAGGAUGUAGGAAUUUCGGACGCGGGUUCAACUCCCGCCAGCUCCACCA
rnacentral:tmRNA from 1 species